rnacentral:rRNA from 1 species
GACGAACGCUGGCGGCGCGCCUAACACAUGCAAGUCGAACGAGCGAGAGAGAGCUUGCUUUCUCGAGCGAGUGGCGAACGGGUGAGUAACGCGUGAGGAACCUGCCUCAAAGAGGGGGACAACAGUUGGAAACGACUGCUAAUACCGCAUAAGCCCACAGCUCGGCAUCGAGCAGAGGGAAAAGGAGCAAUCCGCUUUGAGAUGGCCUCGCGUCCGAUUAGCUAGUUGGUGAGGUAAUGGCCCACCAAGGCGACGAUCGGUAGCCGGACUGAGAGGUUGAACGGCCACAUUGGGACUGAGACACGGCCCAGACUCCUACGGGAGGCAGCAGUGGGGAAUAUUGCACAAUGGGGGAAACCCUGAUGCAGCGACGCCGCGUGGAGGAAGAAGGUCUUCGGAUUGUAAACUCCUGUUGUUGAGGAAGAUAAUGACGGUACUCAACAAGGAAGUGACGGCUAACUACGUGCCAGCAGCCGCGGUAAAACGUAGGUCACAAGCGUUGUCCGGAAUUACUGGGUGUAAAGGGAGCGCAGGCGGGAAGACAAGUUGGAAGUGAAAUCCAUGGGCUCAACCCAUGAACUGCUUUCAAAACUGUUUUUCUUGAGUAGUGCAGAGGUAGGCGGAAUUCCCGGUGUAGCGGUGGAAUGCGUAGAUAUCGGGAGGAACACCAGUGGCGAAGGCGGCCUACUGGGCACCAACUGACGCUGAGGCUCGAAAGUGUGGGUAGCAAACAGGAUUAGAUACCCUGGUAGUCCACACUGUAAACGAUGAUUACUAGGUGUUGGAGGAUUGACCCCUUCAGUGCCGCAGUUAACACAAUAAGUAAUCCACCUGGGGAGUACGACCGCAAGGUUGAAACUCAAAGGAAUUGACGGGGGCCCGCACAAGCAGUGGAGUAUGUGGUUUAAUUCGACGCAACGCGAAGAACCUUACCAAGUCUUGACAUCCUGCGACGGUUCUGGAAACAGGACUUUCCUUCGGGACGCAGAGACAGGUGGUGCAUGGUUGUCGUCAGCUCGUGUCGUGAGAUGUUGGGUUAAGUCCCGCAACGAGCGCAACCCUUAUGGUCAGUUACUACGCAAGAGGACUCUGGCCAGACUGCCGUUGACAAAACGGAGGAAGGUGGGGAUGACGUCAAAUCAUCAUGCCCUUUAUGACUUGGGCUACACACGUACUACAAUGGCGUUAAACAAAGAGAAGCAAGACCGCGAGGUGGAGCAAAACUCAGAAACAACGUCCCAGUUCGGACUGCAGGCUGCAACUCGCCUGCACGAAGUCGGAAUUGCUAGUAAUCGCAGAUCAGCAUGCUGCGGUGAAUACGUUCCCGGGCCU